CUUGUAUUCACACAGACUGUGUAUGUGUAUUUAAAACAUCUGGAGCGUUACGAUCACAUCUUUCAAGAUCACACUCAGUAGUGAAAAUCCACAAAAAUUCAACAUUUCAGUGCGAAUUGUGUGAUUUUAAGGAGAUUUGCAGUGAAAAGACUUUGGAACCAUCUUGGACAUCAUUUAAAGAACCAAGAAACUGUACAAUGUCCCUUUCUAAGGUGUACCUUUAAAACAAACAUUCGCCCAACCUUCAGUUCUCACAGAAGUCGAAACCAUAAAAGUUGUACACUUGAGGAUUUUCGAACAAUUGCAAGAGCUGUUCCUGAAGAUAAGAUAAUUGAAAGUGAGCAAUCUGAUAGUGAAGUAGGAACAUCAGCUUAUAAUAUUGUGAGACCAGAUGAGGUUGAAGAGAUUGUAGAUGUGGAUAGUGAGACACUUGAACACAAAUUGGCUUCUCUCUUUCUGUGUAUGCAAACAGUGUUGCAUGUUUCUCGAGCUGCAACACAAAAGACUGUAGAGGAUUUGCAUAACCUGCUCUCUUUCUCUAACAUUCAUACUCUCAGCAGUGUCAAAGAGAUCCUUUCAAAACAUGAAACUGAAGUAAAUGAUUGUGUUUUGCAAGAAAUUUCUAAUGCUAUAGUUCAAACUAAUCCACUCCUUUUAACAACAAUAGAGAAGGGUUCCCUAUCUACAGAUCACCGAAGAAAUAUAUAUUUCAAAGGGCACUUUUCUGUUGUAGAACCCACAGAAUAUCUGUACAACACAGCUCAUAAAAACUUUUGUUUAGAUACUUGAGACUUUACUCAGCCGGCAGAUUUUUGAACCAAAUUGUAUUUAAUCAAGAAGCUUUAUCUGGACCCUUAAGUCUUUUCAAGACGGCAAGUAUUACAAGGACAAUAAGCUACUGGGACAGCAAAACCUCUAUCAGUUUGGCAUUAUAUAUUGAUGAUUUUGAAGUUUGUAAUCCACUGGGCACGUCUAGAAAACUUCAUAAGAUUACUGCAGUAUAUAGGGUAGUUCUAAAUUUACCAGCCAGAUUCCGAUCGAAUCUCAGUUCAAUUCAGCUAGCUCUCUUAGGUAAAAGUGUGGAUGUCAGUAUGGUUAUGAAAAGUUUUUUGAGCCAUUGAUUAAAGAUAUAAGGUGUCUAGAACAAGAGGGAAUUUUUGUUGAAGUUGUGGGUCAGUUUGUUAAGGGCACUGUAUAUUGUGUAAGUGCCGAUAACCUUGGUGCACACGGUCAGGCUUUUAUGAAAGUUUUACUGUUGACAACUUGUGUCGCUUUUGUUUGAUAAGUUGGGACCAAAUUGCAACCACUGAAGUUAAUGAUUUCCAAAUGAGGGGUGUUGAUCAACACAAUAAAUUUCUGGAAGAGCUUAGGCAGAAUGACAACCUCCAAAGUAUUAAUGGGGUAAAAAGGGAAUGUGUACUGGGCAAACAUCUACUGUUCUUUCACCCAAUAACCGGAUUUCCUCCAGAUGUUUUGCAUGACCUUUUUGAAGGAGUCAUCCCUUUGGAAUUGUCCUUAUGUUUGAAAAAUCUGAUUUCAAAAGGUUUCAUUACAUGUGAUGCAUUGAACAACUGCAUAAAAUCAUUUCCCUACAAAUAUUCAGACAAAGUAAACAAGCCUAAAAAAAUUCCCAAAGCAAGCUUUGAAAAAGGAACAGUUGCCGGUAAUGGACAUGAAAAUUGGACACUGCUGCGCUUACUUCCUUUUAUAAUUGGAUGUAAGAUACCAGAACAGGAGCCAGCAUGGGAGAUUUUAAUGGACCUCAAGGAAAUUGUUGACAUUAUUGUGUCAGACAGACUCUCUGAGGAAGCAUUAGGUUAUUUAUCUUGCAAACUACUGGCUCAUCACCUGUUGCUCACCCGUACCUUUCCAGAAUUCAGACUGAGGCCAAAACACCACUUCAUCGACCACUACCCACAUCUUAUUCGCUGCUAUGGGCCUUUAGUGGAAUUGUGGACAAUGAGAUUCGAAGCAAAACAUAGCUUCUUUAAAAAGGUGGUCCAUGACACUCACAACUGGAAAAAUGUGCUGCUCACUCUUUCCUCAAAACACCAGCAGAUGAUGGCAUACCAUCUGGAUAGUGGAAACCUUUUCAAGCCAAAACUCUAUGUUGAAAAUGUGAUAGUGGUCAGAGUUUCAGAAUUGGAUCCAUCACUCAAGCGUGAAAUACAGAAGAAGUACCCUCAUCUAGACGGUGUGUCUCUGUCUAAAACGAUUCACCUGCGUGGGACACAGUAUGUGGUGGGCAUGAUUUUAUCUGCUGGGCAAUGCAGUGGCCUCCCAGAAUUUCAUAAGAUUGUGACCAUUCUUGUCAAUGCCGAGGAGGUGACAUUCAUUUGUAAAAGACUGUCUUCCUGGUACAUUGAACAUUUCAGGUCCUAUGAGCUUGUUGAACACACCAUUGCCGACCUUCUUGCCCUGGAUCCAGAUGUGCUGACGGAUUACCACUCUCUAACAGCAUACACAGUUGGUGGAAAGCUGAUGGUGACCCCAAGGACGUUCCUUCUCCAUUAAAGCAACUCAAAAUGACUUUGCUACUUCGGGUAGUUCUUUCCUCCAGAGAUGUCCGGCGAGUCCACCUUCCUGAAGUACCAGCAUCUGUGGGGCAGUUGAUUGAUAUACUUAAAGAGAGACUUGAACUUCCAGGUGAUUUCUCACUACAGUUUGAGGAUCCAGAGUUUGGAAAUGCACUAUGCUACUUGACGGCAAUAUCUGAAUUACCAUCUGAGCGUGCAGUCCUGCAUAUAAUGUGGAAUUGUGAUUCAUCUCCACUUAACCAAUCCACUGCUUCAGUGUCCUCUGCUUCAGUCUCCUCCCAGGACACAGUAAGUGUUCACUCUGAAGAUUUCAGGCCUAGCUGGACCGAUUCUAUCCAGAUGAACUUAAACUUGAACUUGCCUCAGAGUGGCCCUCUCCAUUUCCUAUCCCAAGGUUUUCAUAUGAUGUUGAACUGAAAUUGUGUAAGGCUAAUGUGAUAUAUGAAAAAUCUAAGAAGGGCCUUGUAGUGACAAGAGACAUGAAGACAGAGAUUUUGGAUAAAAUUGCACAGGCAGUUUUUGAAAUUAAAGGCUACCCCGAGAAAGAUGAGCUUGAGUCACUUGCUUCUGCGCUGGUUCUCAAGUAUCCAUGUCUGAAGGAGCCAGAUAGCAUCACAGGCUACGAGGGAUGGAAAGCAAGUAUCAAACACAAACUUGGAAAGUACAGAUCAAAGCUUCGUCAAGCAUGCUGCAAUGAGGUAAAUGUAAACAGGAAAAGAAAAGGGAGAGAUGAAGAGGGCAGUACUUUCACCCUUAAAAAGCCCAAACGUGGAGAGGUCAGUCAUGUCCCAGAUCAUCCACAACACCAUGAUGAUUCUACUCUUGAAAAGGAAAGAGUUGCUUUGGUCGAUGAAAUGAAGAAGAAACAAAAGAACAUAACAGUCAUACAGCAGAAGAUGGCGCUGACAUUUUCCCUCAGGCGGAGAGAGGUCGUGGCGUGUCAACCUAACCUAUCUGAGGUCCAGGAAAGAUGGCCUGCACUGUUUUCCUCUGAGGAGAUAUCUGAAGAAUUUCAUCGCAUCACGAGCAAAGACCUUCUGGGGACUUUCAAUGCAUCCCUUGACAAAUUUGUGCCUGGCCUGCUGAAACUGUACCGGUCUAAGAAGGGAGCUCUUGGUGAGAAGAUGGAAGACCUCCUGGAUAAACUUGAUGAACAGAUGAGUGAAGUGCUCCUGUGCCUGGCAUUUUUAAAAGAGACACUGACAUUUUGGAACCAGUGCUAAACGGUGCAUCUGUUGCCAUCCUCACCAUCCUACAAGAUGACGAUGCCGGGAUGUCUGUGCGAGACCAGGCAGUUGUGUUGGAAGGGGACAUCGUGCUACAUAACAUUCCAGACCUCUCUACUGCCUUGACAUACCUCUUUGGCCUUCUGUAUGCCCUCAACAUUGAUUAUCCAAAGGAGAUGAGGUAUACCUUUGAAGCAAUUCAGGCCAUCUUUUUUGAGCUCGGUGGCUCUCGAUGCUCACAGCGCAUAAGGUCCCUGAAAACAAAGCUUUUGCUGUGACUGUUAAUGGGGAAGCCAGACACGACUUUAACUUGUGUUCUUUAGCCUGUUCAAGUGCUUUGUAGUUGGGUCAUGUAACAGACAGAAGUUAAACCCCUUUGCCUCUGAUAUAAUCAUUUGACAGUUACCAAGAGUUGCAUAUUUAGUGUUUGAACUGUUGAUAUUCAUUACUGUUCAAGUAAAACUAAUGUAUGUUUGUAAAAAAAAAAACCUUCAUCUCUCUUUCAACUGGCAUAAGGAUGAGGAGGUGAUGGAAAGUUUUAUUUUAAAGUGAACUGUUCUUUAACCCUCCUGUUGUCCUUGGGUCAAGGAAUGAAGAAGAAGGAAGGAAGGAAAGGAGGGAGGGAGGAAGGAAGGGAAGAGGAAGGAGGGGAGAAAAGAAGGAAGGAGGGGGAGAAGAAGGAAGGAAUGAACAGUCAAAACAGAAUGGGUAUUUUGACCUGGUUGGACAAUAUGAAGGUUAAGUGGGUAAAUCUUUAUUAGAAAUAUCAAUUGUAGUCAGAGGAAU